rnacentral:rRNA from 1 species
GGCGUGCUUAACACAUGACAGUCGAGCGGUAAGGCCCUUCGGGGUACACGAGCGGCGAACGGGUGAGUAACACGUGGGUGAUCUGCCUCGUACUCUGGGAUAAGCCUGGGAAACUGGGUCUAAUACCGGAUAUGACCACAUGUCGCAUGGUGUGUGGUGGAAAGAUUUAUCGGUGCGAGAUGGGCCCGCGGCCUAUCAGCUUGUUGGUGGGGUAACGGCCUACCAAGGCGACGACGGGUAGCCGACCUGAGAGGGUGAUCGGCCACACUGGGACUGAGACACGGCCCAGACUCCUACGGGAGGCAGCAGUGGGGAAUAUUGCACAAUGGGCGGAAGCCUGAUGCAGCGACGCCGCGUGCGGGAUGACGGCCUUCGGGUUGUAAACCGCUUUCGACUCCGACGAAGCGCAAGUGACGGUAGGAGUAGAAGAAGCACCGGCCAACUACGUGCCAGCAGCCGCGGUAAUACGUAGGGUGCGAGCGUUGUCCGGAAUUACUGGGCGUAAAGAGCUUGUAGGCGGUCUGUCGCGUCUUCUGUGAAAAUUCACAGCUCAACUGUGAACCUGCAGGGGAUACGGGCAGACUAGAGUACUUCAGGGGAGACUGGAAUUCCUGGUGUAGCGGUGAAAUGCGCAGAUAUCAGGAGGAACACCGGUGGCGAAGGCGGGUCUCUGGGAAGUAACUGACGCUGAGAAGCGAAAGCGUGGGUAGCGAACAGGAUUAGAUACCCUGGUAGUCCACGCCGUAAACGGUGGGUACUAGGUGUGGGUUUCCUUCCACGGGAUCCGUGCCGUAGCUAACGCAUUAAGUACCCCGCCUGGGGAGUACGGCCGCAAGGCUAAAACUCAAAUGAAA